UUAGAGAUAAUCCUCCCUGCUGCCUCAGCUUCUAUUCCCCAGCUUUACACAGAUAACAUUAGUUACUGUCCUUUUAUUGCUCCAUUGUUCCAUUUUGUAUACUCGGAGAACUAUCUGCAUUAAAUAAUCUAGGUAUAUAAAACGGGAUUAAGGACAGAAUUGAAAGAAUCAACCAGAAUCACACGCUAAAUAAUCAAGGAAACAGGAAAAUGCAUCACUAUAAUCAUGACAGGAAUUGGUGGCAAUUAACAUCCGACACCACAGAACUAUCUAGGAGAAUGAAGACAGAUGGACUUGACUGGCCUGUGGAUGGGAGAUAUCUCACAAUAACUGGAAGUCCAAUGGAUAAGGAUUCAGGACACAAGCAGCUGGUGAUGGGCUCAAUGAAGUCUGAGUGAAGGUGGUAUUUCAGCCGGUUUCACCACUAACAGAAGGAGAUGCAGCUCUGUUGUUUCUAGUUUCUGUGGAAACACAAGCUCUGAUUAAAGCAUUUCAAAUGAUCUUUCCCUUUAAUCUGCAGCKAUGAGUUGGUGACAGAUUUUUGCUG
rnacentral:lncRNA from 1 species